ACCUGGGUGGCUCAGCUGGUUAAGCUUCUGACUUUAGCUCAGGUCAUGAUCACAUGGUGAGUUUGAGCUUCACCUCAGGUU
rnacentral:tRNA from 1 species